AGGGCACCACCAGGAGUGGAGCCUGCGGCUUAAUUUGACUCAACACGGGAAAACUCACCCGGCCCGGACACUGGAAGGAUUGACAGAUUGAGAGCUCUUUCUUGAUUCAGUGGGUGGUGGUGCAUGGCCGUUCUUAGUUGGUGGAGUGAUUUGUCUGGUUAAUUCCGAUAACGAACGAGACUCUAGCCUAUUAAAUAGAUCGUUGGCUUACAAACGCCGGCGAGACUUCUUAGAGGGACAGGCGGCGAUUCAGUCGCACGAAACAGAGCAAUAACAGGUCUGUGAUGCCCUUAGAUGUCCGGGGCCGCACGCGCGCUACACUGAAGUGAUCAGCGUGCAUUUUGAAACCUACUCUGUCAAGAGUGGGGAACCCAAUGAACCUUCUUCGUGAUUGGGAUAGGGGAUUGUAAUUAUUCCCCUUGAACGAGGAAUUCCCAGUAAGCGCGAAUCAUAAGUUUGCGCUGAUUACGUCCCUGCCCUUUGUACACACCGCCCGUCGCUACUACCGAUUGAAUGUUU
rnacentral:rRNA from 1 species